ACGCUGGCGGCAGGCCUAAUACAUGCAAGUCGAACGGCAGCACAGUGGAGCUUGCUCCAUGGGUGGCGAGUGGCGGACGGGUGAGGAAUACAUGGGAAUCUGCCCAGUCGUGGGGGAUAACGUAGGGAAACUUACGCUAAUACCGCAUGCGCCCUUCGGGGGAAAGCCGGGGACCUUCGGGCCUGGCGCGAUUGGAUGAGCCCAUGUUCGAUUAGCUAGUUGGCGGGGUAAAGGCCCACCAAGGCGACGAUCGAUAGCUGGUCUGAGAGGAUGAUCAGCCACACUGGGACUGAGACACGGCCCAGACUCCUACGGGAGGCAGCAGUAGGGAAUAUUGGACAAUGGGCGCAAGCCUGAUCCAGCCAUGCCGCGUGAGUGAAGAAGGCCCUCGGGUUGUAAAGCUCUUUUGUCCGGGAAGAAAAGCAUCGGGCUAAUACCUCGGUGUUCUGACGGUACCGGAAGAAUAAGCACCGGCUAACUUCGUGCCAGCAGCCGCGGUAAUACGAAGGGUGCAAGCGUUACUCGGAAUUACUGGGCGUAAAGCGUGCGUAGGUGGUUUGUUAAGUCUGAUGUGAAAGCCCUGGGCUCAACCUGGGAAUGGCAUUGGAAACUGGCGGACUCGAGUGCGGUAGAGGGGUGUGGAAUUCCCGGUGUAGCAGUGAAAUGCGUAGAGAUCGGGAGGAACACCAGUGGCGAAGGCGACACCCUGGACCAGCACUGGCACUGAGGCACGAAAGCGUGGGGAGCAAACAGGAUUAGAUACCCUGGUAGUCCACGCCCUAAACGAUGCGAACUGGAGGUUGGGUGCACUUUGGCGCUCAGUCUCGAAGCUAACGCGUUAAGUUCGCCGCCUGGGGAGUACGGUCGCAAGACUGAAACUC
rnacentral:rRNA from 1 species